rnacentral:rRNA from 1 species
UACGUAGGGUGCGAGCGUUGUCCGGAAUUACUGGGCGUAAAGAGCUCGUAGGUGGUUUGUCGCGUUGUCCGUGAAAACUCACAGCUCAACUGUGGGCGUGCGGGCGAUACGGGCAGACUGGAGUACUGCAGGGGAGACUGGAAUUCCUGGUGUAGCGGUGGAAUGCGCAGAGUAUCAGGAAGAACACCCGUGGCGAAGGCGGCUCUCUGGGACGGUACUGACGCUGAGACGCGAAAGCGUGGGGAGCGAACAGG